UACGUAGGCAGCGAGCGUUGUUCGGAAUUACUGGGCGUAAAGAGUGUGUAGGCGGUGCUCUAAGUUCGGUGUGAAAUCCCCUGGCUUAACUGGGAGGGUGCGCCGGAAACUGGAGUGCUCGAGCGUGGGAGAGGAAAGCGGAAUUCCUGGUGUAGCGGUGAAAUGCGUAGAUAUCAGGAGGAACACCUGCGGUGUAGACGGCUUUCUGGACCAUUGCUGACGCUGAGACACGAAAGCGUGGGUAGCAAACAGG
rnacentral:rRNA from 1 species